rnacentral:rRNA from 1 species
ACACUCCUACGGGAGGCAGCAGUGGGGAAUAUUGGACAAUGGGCGCAAGCCUGAUCCAGCCAUGCCGCGUGAGUGAUGAAGGCCCUAGGGUUGUAAAGCUCUUUCACCGGUGAAGAUAAUGACGGUAACCGGAGAAGAAGCCCCGGCUAACUUCGUGCCAGCAGCCGCGGUAAUACGAAGGGGGCUAGCGUUGUUCGGAUUUACUGGGCGUAAAGCGCACGUAGGCGGACUAUUAAGUCAGGGGUGAAAUCCCGGGGCUCAACCCCGGAACUGCCUUUGAUACUGGUAGUCUUGAGUUCGAGAGAGGUGAGUGGAAUUCCGAGUGUAGAGGUGAAAUUCGUAGAUAUUCGGAGGAACACCAGUGGCGAAGGCGGCUCACUGGCUCGAUACUGACGCUGAGGUGCGAAAGCGAGGGGAGCAAACAGGAUUAGAAACCCUGGUAGUCCCA